rnacentral:lncRNA from 1 species
AUGCCUUGGAGCGUGCGGUGGGUCGGCGGCCCGGGCGCCCAGUCGCAGAAGCAGUGCAAGAAAUCGUCCUUCGCCUUCUACCAAGCGGUGCGCGACCUGCUGCCCGUCUGGUUCCUGGAGGACAUGCGGACCAUGGAGGUCUUCCACUGGGAGGACGGGGGCAAGGUGAGCCUCUACUCGCCCUCCGAGGCGCUGCUGUACGCCCUGGUGCACGACCACCAGCCCUACGCCCGGCACCUGCUCGCUAAGUUCCCGCAGAGCGCGCUGGCCGUGCCCAGCCAGAGCUUCAGCUGCUGCCAGGCCUCGGCCCCUCACCUGGCCAUGGCCGUCCGCUACAACCGCGUCCGCGUCCUCUUCCGCAUCCUCAAGGCCGUGCAGGCCUUCCCGCCGGCCGAGCGGGCCGCCCACCUGGACCGCCGGGGCUGCAGCCGCGUGGAGGGCGGCAAGACGGCCCUGCACCUGGCCUGUGAGCUGGUGCGGCCCGAGUGCCUGCUGCUGCUGCUGGGGCACGGCGCCUCGCCCUGCCUGCGCGACAGCGCGGGGAACACCCCCCUGGACACCCUGCUGCAGCAGGUGGGCCACGCGCCGGUGGCCAACAUGCGCGCCAAGCUGCUCUGCCUCGACUGCCUCUUCCUCUUCGUGCCUCAGGACCUGCGGUUCGCCAUGAAACAACAACUGCUGGACGACCGGCAGCAGUGGCAGGACUUGCUGGGGGAGAGCCGGUUCCGGUGCCUGGUGGGCUUGGCUCCCCCGUCGCUGUUUGUCGGAGCCAUGCGUGUCUUGAUCAGGACCAUUGCACCCGAGCACUUCCCCGAGGCCCUGGACGAUCUGCCGCUACCGCACUUCCUAAAGCCUUUGGACUUGAAGCUGGAGAGCUAG